CCCUUAGAUGUCCUGGGCCGCACGCGCGCUACACUGAGUGUCUGAGAUACGAGUCUGCCUGGUCCGGCAAGGUCUAGGUAAUCGCUAAAAGACACAUCAUGAUUGGGAUAGAUUAUUGCAAAUAUUAAUCUUGAACGAGGAAUUCCUAGUAAGCGCAAGUCAACAGCUUGCGUUGAUUACGUCCCUGCCCUUUGUACACACCGCCCGUCGCUACUACUGAUUGGAUGUUUAAGCGAGGUUCUCGAACUGCUAGCGACUUAGCUUCGGUGAGGUCGCAGUGUGGGAAGUGAACCUAGCUUUGGUGUCUAGAGGAAGUAAAAGUCGUAACA
rnacentral:rRNA from 1 species